rnacentral:rRNA from 1 species
GUAGUCCUGGCUGUAAACGAUGUCGACUUGGAGGUUGUGCCCUUGAGGCGUGGCUUCCGGAGCUAACGCGUUAAGUCGACCGCCUGGGGGGUACGGCCGCAAGGUUAAAACUCAAAUGAAUUGACGGGGGCCCGCACAAGCGGUGGAGCAUGUGGUUUAAUUCGAUGCAACGCGAAGAACCUUACCUGGUCUUGACAUCCACGGAAGUUUUCAGAGAUGAGAAUGUGCCUUCGGGAACCGUGAGACAGGUGCUGCAUGGCUGUCGUCAGCUCGUGUUGUGAAAUGUUGGGUUAAGUCCCGCAACGAGCGCAACCCUUAUCCUUUGUUGCCAGCGGUCCGGCCGGGAACUCAAAGGAGACUGUUAGUGAUAAACUGGAGGAAGGUGGGGAUGACGUCAAGUCAUCAUGGCCCUUACGACCAGGGCUACACACGUGCUACAAUGGCGCAUACAAAGAGAAGCGACCUCGCGAGAGCAAGCGGACCUCAUAAAGUGCGUCGUAGUCCGGAUUGGAGUCUGCAACUCGACUCCAUGAAGUCGGAAUCGCUAGUAAUCGUGGAUCAGAAUGCCACGGUGAAUACGUUCCCGGGCCUUGUACACACCGCCCGUCACACCAUGGGAGUGGGUUGCAAAAGAAGUAGGUAGCUUAACCUUCGGGAGGGCGCUUACCACUUUGUGAUUCAUGACUGGGGUGAAGUCGUAACAAGGUAACCGUAGGGGAACCUGCGGCUGGAUCACCUCC